AAAGCGUUUCUGUCCCUGUCGCGAUGUGUGCCCGGAGUCUCUCCCGCUCCUGUCUCGAGUGCUUUCUCUAUGGAGUCUCGCUCUGUCGCCCAGGCUGGAGUGCAGUGGCGCGAUCUCGCCUCACUGCAAGCUCCGCCUCCCGGGUUCACGCCAUUCUCCUGCCUCAGCCUCCCGAGUAGCUGGGACUACAGGCGCCCGCCACCACACCCGGCUAAUUUUUUGUAUUUUUAGUAGAGACGGGGUUUCACCGUGUUAGCCAGGAUGGUCUGGAUCUCCUGACCUCGUGAUCCGCCUGCCUCGGCCUCCCAAAGUGCUGGGAUUACAGGCGUGAGCCACCGCACCCAGCCUGAGUCCCCUUUUUAACUUGGAGAGUCCCCUUUCCUGGGAUUUACCAGUCCUCCUCCAUUCCAGACAGGUGGUUCUCUGGGUCGGCUACACAGCUGUCAUCCUGGAACUUUCUUCGGUACUUUCCUGAGUUGGAUUUUAUUCUAACCCCCGUCAUUGAUUGAUUCCAAAGUUUGUUUUUUUUUUUUCUGUAGUUCA
rnacentral:sRNA from 1 species